UUGGGCGUAAAGAGCUCGUAGGCGGUUUGUCGCGUCUGCCGUGAAAGUCCGGGGCUCAACUCCGGAUCUGCGGUGGGUACGGGCAGACUAGAGUGAUGUAGGGGAGACUGGAAUUCCUGGUGUAGCGGUGAAAUGCGCAGAUAUCAGGAGGAACACCGAUGGCGAAGGCAGGUCUCUGGGCAUUAACUGACGCUGAGGAGCGAAAGCAUGGGGAGCGAACAGGAUUAGAUACCCUGGUAGUCCAUGCCGUAAACGUUGGGCACUAGGUGUGGGGGACAUUCCACGUUUUCCGCGCCGUAGCUAACGCAUUAAGUGCCCCGCCUGGGGAGUACGGCCGCAAGGCUAAAACUCAAAGGAAUUGACGGGGGCCCGCACAAGCGGCGGAGCAUGCGGAUUAAUUCGAUGCAACGCGAAGAACCUUACCAAGGCUUGACAUGAACCAGACCGGGCUGGAAACAGUCCUUCCCCUUGUGGGUUGGUUUACAGGUGGUGCAUGGUUGUCGUCAGCUCGUGUCGUGAGAUGUUGGGUUAAGUCCCGCAACGAGCGCAACCCUCGUUCUAUGUUGCCAGCACGUGAUGGUGGGGACUCAUAGGAGACUGCCGGGGUCAACUCGGAGGAAGGUGGGGACGAC
rnacentral:rRNA from 1 species